AUUGAACGCUGGCGGCAUGCCUUACACAUGCAAGUCGAACGGCAGCACGGGUGCUUGCACCUGGUGGCGAGUGGCGAACGGGUGAGUAAUACAUCGGAACGUACCUUAUCGUGGGGGAUAACGCAGCGAAAGCUGUGCUAAUACCGCAUACGCCCUGAGGGGGAAAGCGGGGGAGCGAAAGACCUCGCGCGAUUAGAGCGGCCGAUGGCUGAUUAGCUUGUUGGUGGGGUAAAAGCCCACCAAGGCGACGAUCAGUAGCUGGUCUGAGAGGACGAUCAGCCACACUGGGACUGAGACACGGCCCAGACUCCUACGGGAGGCAGCAGUGGGGAAUUUUGGACAAUGGGGGAAACCCUGAUCCAGCAAUGCCGCGUGAGUGAAGAAGGCCUUCGGGUUGUAAAGCUCUUUUGUCAGGGAAGAAACACCGGCUCUAACACAGUCCGGGAAUGACGGUACCUGAAGAAUAAGCACCGGCUAACUACGUGCCAGCCGCCGCGGUAA
rnacentral:rRNA from 1 species